GUAUACACACAGUUGCAACCACAUAAAUACGUACGUACAUACACACACACACAUACAUAAAAUACAUACACACAUGCACAAACAUACAUUCAUACAGACAGACAUACAUACACAUAUAUACAAACACAAUAUACAUACAUAUACACUCGCCCCACCCACACAUACACACACAUACAUACAUACAUACAUACGUACACACAUACAUGCAUACAUACAUACACACGUAUAUACACACAUACACACGUAUAUACAUAUGAGGAUUAUUUCUGUGGCGCAUCUUUUACGUUCGAGGAUGUUGAAGUCGGAAAGUCUGCCAAGGGUCUCUUAAUUACUUCUAAACCAACUUAAAACACACACGGACACACAAAUACUUGAACGAGACCUUGAGAUAAAGGUACCAAGGAAGAUAACGUGCAAGUGCGCUAUGACGUCUUCUUACAAUGGAAUAUCAUAUUCUCAUUAAAGAACUUUUACUACUCGUCCAAGAGUCGCCAGUGCUUUACCAAUGUACUUUGAGUUUCAACAUUACAGUUGCUUUUGGUAAAAUCAUUUCCAGCUCGUGUACUCUAAUGAUUUUCUAGAAACGUCGAUCACACUGCUUAUUGUGCUUCUCUCUGGAAGGAAACUAUUGGCUUACCUUGAAGUUCGUUGUUGCAGAUAAAUGUGCUUAAAUCGAAAGAGCAAAAAACGUUUCAAAACAUUCAAGUACGAAACAUAAGUUCCAGUGCCACGUUGCUCUCGUGGAAUUGAAAGGAAUUGAACUGAGAUCAACAUUAGUGAAUCAAUUCUAUUUUUAAUGGUAUGAACCUACGGAGUUAAAAACUGAAAUUUAUCUGUAUUAUCAAAUGUAUUAGGAACUAACUACAUUUGUUUCCAAACGUUUAAAAAAUAUUUC